GAUGAAGAACGUAGCGAAAUGCGAUAAGUAGUGUGAAUUGCAGAAUUCAGUGAAUCAUCGAAUCUUUGAACGCACAUUGCGCCUUCUAGUAUUCUGGGAGGCAUGCCUAUUUGAGCGUCAUUAAACCUCUCUCAAGUAUGAUUACUUGGAUGUGAAGGAAGAGUACCUUAAACUUAAGGAGUGUUCUCCUUUGAAAUUGAUUAGCAGAUGGUAAUGUUAUUAAAUCCCUGAUGUUGUAAGAAAUAACAGUGGUUUUGUAGACUAUUAUCUAGCUUUAAAUUAUAAUUUUUAUUAUGGUUGACCUCAAAUCAGGUAAGGAUACCCGCUGAACUUAAGCAUAUCAAUAAGCGGAGGA
rnacentral:misc_RNA from 1 species